GGGAGGCGAUCCCAGCUGGCCGACCGACCCUCCCUCCCCUCUGCGGCCCUACAAGAUGCGGCGAAGGAGGGGCUUGGCAGGCAGCACGAGGUGGCUCCCGGCCGCAGGCUGAGCGCAGAGCCGGGCAGACCUCCCUGAACGCGGGCGGGGAUCAAUCUGGGAAAGUUCUCUAGGUGCCGCUCCCAGCAACUUUCAGGGGUGGGGCAGGGAAGGGAUAAGCCACCUCCGCACCUCCUCGGGUUUCGGAAACUGCUUCCUAAUAACGACGUGUGCGGGCCAGGGGCACCCGCUGACUCAAGGGGUGGUGCCCCGCCUAGGUCGAGGGGGUAGGUUUCCAAACAUCACAAGACCGCUUGGCGAGGUUAGUCACCACGGGCCUGGUGGCACCUCUAGGUGAGCUGGAAGGGUGCUUGUUCCCGGUUAGUGAGACUAAUGAUGCUACCCACCUUGUCAUUUGCUCCGUUAGGUGAAUUGCGUCCUGGCAAGGAUGAGAAACCGGAACCAGAAUGACUCUGAAAGAGUGACUCUCCACUUAAAUGAACCUGUGCGUUUCUGUUGCCUUGGGGCACAAGUGUCCAUAUGUGUGUGUGCCCCCCAACCCCCAUCCCCGGCCCCGGCUGAUCUUACCAAUUAGGUUGCAGGAAGGGUUGCUUCUGUCUAAAAAUGGCCAAGGAUCAGCAUUUCUUUGGAGUCGUUUCCACACCUUGUAGCAGUUUUCAGUCAACCACGGUCGUUUUGGAGGGUGUCACUAGGCAUCCAGGCAGCUGGCUAAACCUCCAAUGAGUUUAAUUGAUAGAAAUGCUUUUUAUUGCAUUGCCUACUUCCCUUCUGGUUUUAAGUUUGAACGUGUAGGAUUGUACAGACUGUCCUAUGGGAGUUAACAUAAUCCACAAAAACAACAAUAAGCAUUUCUGGUGUUUUGUGUGGGUAUCAUUUGUGUCAAUAAUCAUUAAACCCAAUGGCAGCAAAAUAGAACUUUGGAGGGGAGGUGCCAAGGUGGCAGGUCACAGAUGAUGUCACAAUCCAGAAGUUUAAGUUAACCUCUCCUGCAAUUAACCACAGGUUAGACUUCAUUGUGGGGAGCGCACUUGUUUUCAAGUUACAGAAAGGGACCUCAGGUCAAUCUGAGCUACAUAAGACCCUGCCUGACUCCAAAACUCUCAAACAAAC
rnacentral:lncRNA from 1 species